rnacentral:rRNA from 1 species
AGAACGAACGCUGGCGGCGUGGAUAAGACAUGCAAGUCGAACGAGACUUGGGAAGUAGCAAUACGGAACAAGUUUAGUGGCGCACGGGUGCGUAACACGUGAGUAAUCUGCCGAGAAGUGGGGGAUAGCUCGCCGAAAGGCGAAUUAAUACCGCAUAUGGCCAGGAAGGACAUCCUUCCGACGCCAAAGUCGCAAGACGCUUCUUGAUGAGCUCGCGGCCUAUCAGCUUGUUGGUGAGGUAACGGCUCACCAAGGCUUUGACGGGUAGCUGGUCUGAGAGGACGACCAGUCACACUGGAACUGAGACACGGUCCAGACACCUACGGGUGGCAGCAGUCGAGAAUUUUUCACAAU